AGCAUAUCAAUAAGCGGAGGAAAAGAAACCAACAGGGAUUGCCUCAGUAACGGCGAGUGAAGCGGCAACAGCUCAAAUUUGAAAUCUGGCUCCUUCGGGGUCCGAGUUGUAAUUUGUAGAGGGUGUUUCGGGUGCGAUGCCGGUCUAAGUUCCUUGGAACAGGACGUCGUAGAGGGUGAGAAUCCCGUAUGCGACCGGCGAUCAAGCCCGUGCGAAGCCCCUUCGACGAGUCGAGUUGUUUGGGAAUGCAGCUCAAAAUGGGUGGUAAAUUUCAUCUAAAGCUAAAUACUGGCCAGAGACCGAUAGCGGACAAGUAGAGUGAUCGAAAGAUGAAAAGCACUUUGGAAAGAGAGUCAAACAGUACGUGAAAUUGUUGAAAGGGAAGCGCUUGCAAUCAGACCGGUCCGGAGGCGAUCAGCCGCUGCUCGUCAGCGGUGCACUCGCCUGCGAUCCGGCCAGCAUCGGUUUGGGCGGCGGGAUAAAAGUCCCGGGAAUGUAGCUUCCUCCGGGGAGUCUUAUAGCCCGGGUCGCAAUGCCGCCCGCCCGGACCGAGGACCGCGCUUCGGCUAGGAUGCUGGCGUAAUGGUUGCAAGCGACCCGUCUUGAAACACGGACCAAGGAGUCUAACAUCUAUGCGAGUGUUUGGGUGUCAAACCCAGGCGCGGAAUGAAAGUGAACGGAGGUGGGAACCCGUCAGACGGCGCACCAUCGACCGAUCCAGAUGUCUUCGGAUGGAUUUGAGUAUGAGCAUAGCUGUUGGGACCCGAAAGAUGGUGAACUAUGCCCGGAUAGGGUGAAGCCAGAGGAAACUCUGGUGGAGGCUCGCAGCGGUUCUGACGUGCAAAUCGAUCGUCAAAUCUAGGCAUAGGGGCGAAAGACCAAUCGAACCAUCUAGUAGCUGGUUCCUGUCGAAGUUUCCCUCAGGAUAGCAGUAACGUUUUCAGUUUUAUGAGGUAAAGCGAAUGAUUAGAGGCCUUGGGGCUGAAACAGCCUUAACCUAUUCUCAAACUUUAAAUAUGUAAGAAGUCCUUGUUACUUAGUUGAACGUGGACAUUUGAAUGCACCGUUACUAGUGGGCCAUUUUUGGUAAGCAGAACUGGCGAUGCGGGAUGAACCGAACGCGAGGUUAAGGUGCCGGAAUGCACGCUCAUCAGACACCACAAAAAGUGUCAAUUCAUCCAGACAGCCGGACGGUGGCCAUGGAAGUCGGAAUCCGCUAAGGAGUGUGUAACAACUCACCGGCCGAAUGAAUUGGCCUUGAAAAUGGAUGGCGCUCAAGCGUGCUACCCAUACCUCGCCGCCAGGGUAGAAACGAUGCCCU
rnacentral:rRNA from 1 species